GACGAACGCUGGCGGCGUGCUUAACACAUGCAAGUCGAACGGAAAGGCCUCUUUCGGGGGGUACUCGAGUGGCGAACGGGUGAGUAACACGUGAGUAACCUGCCCUUGACUUUGGGAUAACUUCAGGAAACUGGGGCUAAUACCGGAUAGGAGCUCCUGCUGCAUGGUGGGGGUUGGAAAGUUUCGGCGGUUGGGGAUGGACUCGCGGCUUAUCAGCUUGUUGGUGGGGUAGUGGCUUACCAAGGCUUUGACGGGUAGCCGGCCUGAGAGGGUGACCGGCGACAUUGAGACUGAGAGACGGCACAGACUCCGACGGGAGGCAGAAGUGGGGAAGAUUGCACAAUGGGUGCAGGCCUGAUGCAGCAACGCCGUGUGCGGGAUGACGGCCUUCGGGUUGUAGACCGCUUUCGCUCAUGACGAAGCUUUGUGUGACGGUAGUGGGUAAAGAAGCACCGGCUAACUACGUG
rnacentral:rRNA from 1 species